UAGUCCACGCCGUAAACGAUGGAUACUAGUUGUUGGUUUUUCGGAAUCAGUGACUAAGCGAAAGUGAUAAGUAUCCCACCUGGGGAGUACGGUCGCAAGAUUGAAACUCAAAGGAAUUGACGGGGGCCCGCACAAGCGGUGGAGCAUGUGGUUUAAUUCGAUGAUACGCGAGGAACCUUACCAGGGCUUAAAUGUAAGUUGCAUGAUCUAGAGAUAGGUCUUUCUUCGGACUACUUACAAGGUGCUGCAUGGUUGUCGUCAGCUCGUGCCGUGAGGUGUCAGGUUAAGUCCUAUAACGAGCGCAACCCUUACCGUUAGUUGCCAGCAUGUAAAGAUGGGGACUCUAGCGGGACUGCCAGUGCAAACUGUGAGGAAGGUGGGGAUGGACGUCAAAUCAUCACGGGCCCUUACGUCCUGGGGCUACACACGUGCUACAAUGGGUAUAGACAGAGAGCAGCCACCAUGCGAAUGGGAGCGAAUCU
rnacentral:rRNA from 1 species